ACGUUGUUCGGAAUCACUGGGCGUAAAGGGCGCGUAGGCGGACCGGUAAGUCGAGGGUGAAAUUCCAGGGCUCAACUCUGGAACUGCCUUUGAAACUGCCGGUCUAGAGUGCAGGAGAGGAAGGCGGAAUUCCAGGUGUAGCGGUGGAAUGCGUAGAUAUCUGGAAGAACACCAGUGGCGAAGGCGGCCUUCUGGACUGACACUGACGCUGAUGCGCGAAAGCUGG
rnacentral:rRNA from 1 species